AGGAUGAACGCUAGCUACAGGCUUAACACAUGCAAGUCGAGGGGCAGCAUGAUCUAAGCUUGCUAGAUGAUGGCGACCGGCGCACGGGUGAGUAACGCGUAUCCAACCUUCCCUGUAGUAGAGGAUAGCCCGGCGAAAGUCGGAUUAAUAUUCUAUGUUUUCCAAUGCAGACAUCUAAGUUGGAACAAAGGUUCACCGCUAUAGGAUGGGGAUGCGUCUGAUUAGAUAGUAGGCGGGGUAACGGCCCACCUAGUCGACGAUCAGUAGGGGUUCUGAGAGGAAGGUCCCCCACAUUGGAACUGAGACACGGUCCAAACUCCUACGGGAGGCAGCAGUGAGGAAUAUUGGUCAAUGGGCGAGAGCCUGAACCAGCCAAGUAAGCGUGCAGGAUGACGGCCCUAUGGGUUGUAAACUGCUUUUAUCGGGGGAUAAAGUGAGGGACGUGUCCCUUAUUGUAGGUACCCGAUGAAUAAGGACCGGCUAAUUCCGUGCCAGCCGCAGC
rnacentral:rRNA from 1 species